rnacentral:rRNA from 1 species
AUUGAACGCUGGCGGAAUGCUUUACACAUGCAAGUCGAACGGCAGCACGGACUUCGGUCUGGUGGCGAGUGGCGAACGGGUGAGUAAUACAUCGGAACGUGCCCAGUCGUGGGGGAUAACGUAGCGAAAGCUACGCUAAUACCGCAUACGAUCUAAGGAUGAAAGCGGGGGAUCGCAAGACCUCGCGCGACUGGAGCGGCCGAUGGCAGAUUAGGUAGUUGGUAGGGUAAAGGCCUACCAAGCCGACGAUCUGUAGCUGGUCUGAGAGGAUGAUCAGCCAGACUGGGACUGAGAAACGGGCCAGACUCCUACGGGAGUCAGCAGUGGGGAAUUUUGGACAAUGGGUGAAAGCGUGAUCCAGCCAUGCCGCGUGCAGGAUGAAGGCCUUCGGGUUGUAAACUGCUUUUGUACGGAACGAAAAGGUUUGGGCUAAUAAGCUGAGCUCAUGACGGUACCGUAAGAAUAAGCACCGGCUAACUACGUGCCAGCCGCCGCCGUAA